rnacentral:rRNA from 1 species
GCUCGUAGUCGGAUUUCGGGGCGGGCCUGCCGGUCUGCCGAUCGGUACGCACUGGCGGGCGCGUCCUUCCUUCCGGAGACCGCGCCUCCUCUUAACUGAGCGGGCGUGGGAGACGGAUCGUUUACUUUGAAAAAAUCAGAGUGUUUCAAGCAGGCAGCUCGCUCUUGCAUGGAUUAGCAUGGGAUAAUGAAAUAGGACUCUGGUGCUAUUUUGUUGGUUUCGAACACCGGAGUAAUGGUCAACAGGGACAGUCAGGGGCACUCGUAUUCCGCCGAGAGAGGUGAAAUUCUCAGACCAGCGGAAGACGAACCACUGCGAAAGCAUUUGCCAGGGAUGUUUUCACUGAUCAAGAACGAAAGUUAGGGGAUCGAAGACGAUCAGAUACCGUCGUAGUCUUAACCAUAAACCAUGCCGACUAGGGAUUGGAGGCUGUUCCUUUAGUGACUCCUUCAGCACCUUUCGGGAAACUAAAGUCUUUGGGUUCCGGGGGGAGUAUGGUCGCAAGGCUGAAACUUAAAGGAAUUGACGGAAGGGCACCACCAGGAGUGGAGCCUGCGGCUUAAUUUGACUCAACACGGGGAAACUUACCAGGUCCAGACAUUGUGAGGAUUGACAGAUUGAGAGCUCUUUCUUGAUUCGAUGGGUGGUGGUGCAUGGCCGUUCUUAGUUGGUGGAGUGAUUUGUCUGGUUAAUUCCGUUAACGAACGAGACCGCAGCCUGCUAAAUAGUUCCGCGAACACUCCGUUGGCGGCCGACUUCUUAGAGGGACAACUUGUCUUCAACAAGUGGAAGUUUGCGGCAAUAACAGGUCUGUGAUG